rnacentral:pre_miRNA from 1 species
CGGGGUUUUGGGGGCGAGAUGAGAUAUUUCAUACAAAACCAACUGGCCUGCAAAGUCCCGCC